UUAAAAGCUAGCUAAAAAAUGAACUGUAAAUUUUUAUUAUAUUUUUUCGUUUAAAGUGAAGGUUAAACUUGUUUAUAGUUAUACAAUUUUUAAAAAAUUGCGAUUUUUUCACUGUUUAGGAAUCCUGCCAAAAUAGAUGGACCACAAGACUGCAAAAGAUAUUUGCGUUUUAAUUAAUUCAUAUAAAUGCCAAUCGAAGCCUUUGUUAAAUGGUGACAUUUACAAAAAUUUUUCUGAAAAUAAUUUCAAAUUAUCAAAAACUUGUCUGAAAUUAAAAAAACUGAACAUUGGACCUCAAAAUGCAUCUGAUUUUAAAAUAUUCUCCAACAAUAUAAGAUACUUGCAUAAAAAGAUAAAAAUCUUUAAAAAAAACCCUACCCAGUCAUGGGCUGCUAUUGUUAAUUUUUUGCAGCAACCAUUUAAAUAUGAAAGAAAAAGAAAUAGUUCUAAUACAAAUAUUCACUUAAACGUUGCAAGUGAUUUAAAUAUUGCUUCAGACACAAUGCAGAGAGUAAAGUGUGGUUCAUGCAAAAUAAAAAA